rnacentral:rRNA from 1 species
CAGCAGCCGCGGUAAAACGGAGGGUGCAAGCGUUAAUCGGAAUUACUGGGCGUAAAGCGCACGCAGGCGGUUUGUUAAGUCAGAUGUGAAAUCCCCGAGCUUAACUUGGGAACUGCAUUUGAAACUGGCAAGCUAGAGUCUUGUAGAGGGGGGUAGAAUUCCAGGUGUAGCGGUGAAAUGCGUAGAGAUCUGGAGGAAUACCGGUGGCGAAGGCGGCCCCCUGGACAAAGACUGACGCUCAGGUGCGAAAGCGUGGGGAGCAAACAGGAUUAGAUACCCCAGUAGUCCCUGUCUCUUAUAC